ensembl:lncRNA
CUGAUGUCCUGCAGUCAGUCUACUUGAAGAUGAAUACACAUUGAAGCCACAGCUAUUUCCAACCAUAGCUGAAACAUAUCGACAAGCAGAGCUGAGAAUCUUUUUUUUAAGUGCUGUACAUGGCAGGGGAAGAUGUUGCUACCAGCUACUUUAGGGAACUCCUGGUGGGACAUUCGGAUACCAUUCUCAGAGGAAGUUAAAUACUGGGCUUUAGGGAUGUCUGUGUUUCUUUUUCUCAUUGCCAUCUGUAUUCUGAUAUGGCAAACUCAUCGAUACUGCACACAACUGACUGCUUCUAAGCAUACUGUUAAUAGCACACUUUUAGACAGCCAGUCUGCAAAAAAUGAAACAUUUCAAAGCUCACCAAUACCCAAUUACCAGCUGUAUUUCCACCAUGAUGAAGUGGGAUCCUUAAGUAGCUGCCUGUACAGCAGCUCUGAUCUGGCCAACAGUACAGACAGUCUCGAGGAUGUGGAUGAGGAACACGUUCAGGGAACGCUGCGCUUCUCACUCUUCUAUGAUCAGCUGCAGUCUCGGUUGGUGGUGACUGUAUUGGAGGCAAGAGACCUGGCGGCACGAACGUUUAGCCAGCAUGUGGACCCCUUCAUCAAUGUACGAGUGCUAUGGGUAGCAGUGGAGGAUGAAGAGCAACAGCUGACCUGUGUGCUUCAGGAGUGGCAGACACGCCCAGUCAAGGAUAGCUGCAACCCUACAUUUGGGGAUCAGUUCUCCUGCACAGUGACUGAGGAGGAAAUGCCGAGGGUCACAGUGCGGCUGGAGGUGAGGAAG